ensembl:lncRNA
AUUUGAAAAGGGUUUGAAAAGGGUUAGAAUUGAGGAAGUUGUCAAAGGGUAGCAGAGUAAGAGGGGACCAGUGUCAGGGGCUGCCGCUGGCUCUCUAGGGGAUUCUGGUGAGGGGAUGGCAUGGAAGCUCAAUGAUCAGGCCAUUAGCUGGGAUUGAACUCAAGACCUUGCGCUUGUGAGGCAGGCACAAUGCCACUGAGCACCCAGACUGGUGAGUAGAGCCACAAAGGUAUGUGAAUAUAUUUCUAUAUUUUAUAACUAUGCAUGUAUCUUAAUUAUUUUUCUUGUUGCUGCGACAAAAUACCUGACACUCACAAGUUAAAGGAGGAAAAGUUUAUUUCAAGUCACAGUUUGUCGAGGUUUUAGUCCAUAGUUGAUUGGCUCCAAGGCAGGGUAGCAUGCUAGAUAGUCAUGGCAGAGGAGAAACAGUCCAAGGCAGGUCAGGCAGGGAGCAAUGAAGUAAGCCUCUCAUUCCCUUUUAUCCCAACCAGGCUACAAGCCUUCUGGGUGGUGCCACCUACUCCCAGGGUAGGCCUUUCCAUUAUCCAUAUCCAGAACUAUGCUAAACCAAUUAGUGGGCUAAUCCAUUACCACACACCCUUAAUCCCAGUAUCACAUACCCUAGAUCAGUCGUGGCAAAAUUAUGGCAUGUGUGCCACAGCAGGCACACAGAGCCCUCUCCAUCAGCACGCAAGCCAAGUUGCCCCAGCAGCCAAGCAUCAGAUAACAGUUGUUUUUUUCUAAACUAAAACCUCAGUAUUCAAGUUUAAUUGCAGUGUUGGCACUUUGUGAUAAAUAAGUAGGUUUUGUGUUGCAGUUUGGACACUCAGUCUCUAAAAGGUUUGCCAUUAUUGCCCUAGAUCCAGCCGGCUCCAAAAACCCCACCUAUGAGCCCAUGAGGCUUUAGGGGGACAUCUAGAUGCAAACCAUUGUAUAUAUAUUUCUAUCUAUUCC